GACGAACGCUGGCGGCGUGCCUAACACAUGCAAGUCGAACGGAAAGGCCCUGCGCUUGUGGGGUGCUCGAGUGGCGAACGGGUGAGUAACACGUGAGUAACCUGCCCUUGACUUUGGGAUAACUUCAGGAAACUGGGGCUAAUACCGGAUAGGAGCUCCUGCUGCACGGGGGGGGUUGGAAAGUUUCGGCGGUUGGGGAUGGACUCGCGGGUUAUCAGCUUGUUGGUGGGGUAGUGGCUUACCAAGGCUUUGACGGGUAGCCGGCCUGAGAGGGUGACCGGCCACAAUGGGACUGAGAUACGGCCCAGAAUGCUAUGUGAGGCAGCAGUGGGGAGUAUGGCGCAGUGGGCGGACGUCUGAUGCAGCGGCGCCGCGUGCGGGAUGCCGGGCUUCUGGUUGUGAACCGCUUUCGCCUGAAACGAAGCGUGAGUGACGGUAAUGGAUAAGGAAGCACCGGCUAACUACGUG
rnacentral:rRNA from 1 species